AUGCCCUGUUGGCUGGGAGGCCUCCUGGAGUCAGGAGCGAGGCUCCUGGAAUCCAGGCCCAUUUUCCCCUCCCUGGCCUGUGACCUUGGACCUCUUCACCCUCUGUAUCCCAGUUUCUCCUUGCUGUGAAAGAGGGCUGGUGAUUUCAUUUCCCUCUCCCACCCACCCACAUGCUCGUAUCUGCCCAUGCCUCCAAAGAGAGGCCUCAAGAGAGCAGGAGCUUUGCACUCCUAAUGUCCCUGGUGAUACUAUUUUACUGGACUUAGUUUUAUCACAACCAUCUUUACAUUAGCACAGGUGAGAAAUGUGGCCACACUAGACAGGGUGACAGAGGAAGAAGGUUUGGGUGGGGCUUGUCCACAGCCCCCAAGCAGCUUGGGGGAACUCCAAAUCCUACCUCCCCUAGGGGCACAUCCGGAGACGACCACCUGGCAUGGUCCCCACCUCCACAUACCCCCGGCAAUGCCAGAAGGAGUCUUUCAGGACUCCUGGGGCCAACACAGAAGGACACGGGCCACCUCUCAACACCUGGCUGUUGCCUCCCUCCAUCUGAUUCCCGGAAACAAAGCGCCCAGUUACCCAGGUGUGUGUUCGCUUUUUGGCUGUGGGCUUCUCGGGGCUUUGACAACUGCUGUGUUUGAACACCCACAGCCUCUCCCUGGCCCCCCGGGGAGGAAGCCGGGUGUCCGGUGUGGGGAGUCCCAGCCUUGGCUCCAGGACGGGCAUGGAGGGCUCUGUGAGCGAGAGCUGUCCACGCCCUCUCCUGGGCUUUCUGGUGGGUAGCCAUCCUGAGAAGGAAGACAGCUGGGGCCUUCCUGAUUGCUCCGCUUUCCUGCCCUGCCCUCCCUUUUCUUGCUGAGUUUGCUUUUGUUUCUCAGUAGCCCAGAAGGGAGGCAAGUUCAUCUGGGCGGGUGGGCAAGGGCUGGUGUCCCCAACCCUGGAGCUGUGGGCACAGAGACUUCGGCUCUUCCUAUCGCCUUGGCUUCUUCCUGAGCAAACACACAAAAAACAAAAAGGCCGGAGAANNNNNNNNNNNNNNNNNNNNNNNNNNNNNNNNNNNNNNNNNNNNNNNNNNNCUGCCUCCACAUACCACCUCCGGCCCUUUGAGCAGAGGGAGCUGUUGCUGACACCCUAUGGUCCUCGGAUGUCAUCUGCUGGGCAGCGCCUCUCAGCUUCCCGUCUCCAUCUCUGCCCUUUGCUUCUGGGACCCACCAGCCAACAUGCCCACAUCCCCCCUCCUGAGUCAAGGGAGUGGGGCUGACCCAAACUUUAAGAGAAAA
rnacentral:lncRNA from 1 species